AAAAAAACAAAACAAAACAGGUAUUCCAGAAAGCAUCGUUUCAAGUUGGAUAUGGCAUGUGUGCUGCUUUAAAUACUGGUCUCAAAUGUCUCUUGGGAAGACCCAACAACAGCUGUGGCUUAGAAGGUGAAAUGGCAUCUUUUUCUAACCAGGACGUAUCAUCUUGAGCUUACCAUGAGAAGUCUGCAAACUAUGAACACAUUUUUUUCUAGCUACAUAACAGUUAUAUUUUUAACAUGGUUUUAAUGACGGAUUAAGGGGAGAAAACUGAGUAAUGAAGGAAGAUUCAGUAACAGCCUUCUUCUCCCUUCCCAGCAACGCUAAGCACAGGAUAAGAACAUACUAUACAGCGAAGACUGGAGUUUAGCAUUUCUACUUCCUGCUGUUUUUCCUGAUAUUAACCAGCUGCAAAAAAGAGCCACUGGAGACUGAAAUUUCUUAAAACAGGACCUCAAAAUCUGUCCUCGGUCUGGUUCUAGUCAAUAUCUUCAAAAAUUAUUUGGAUAAUGGCAUAGAGAGUAUACUUAUAAAGUUUAGGAACAAUACCAAGAUAGGAGGGGUAACAAGUGCUUUGGAUGACCAGAUUAGAAUUUGAAAUGAUCCUGACAAGCUGGAGAAAUGGUCUGAAAUAAAUAGGAUAAAAUUCAAUAAGGACAAAUGCAAAGUAUUAUAUUUAGAAAGGCAUAAUCAACUGCAUAAAUAUAAAAUGGGAAAUGACUGCCUAGGAAGGUGUACUGCAGAAAAGGAUCUGGAGCUUAUAGUGGAUGACAAACUAAAUGAGUCAACAAUGUAAUACUGUUGCAAAAAAAGCGAACAUCAUGCAGGCAUGUAUUAGCAGAAGUGUUGUCAGCAAGACACAAGAAGUAAUUAUUUCAUUCUACUUAGCACUGAAAAGGCCUCAGCUGGAGCACUGUGUCCAGUUCUGGGCACCAUACUUCAGGAAAGAUGUGGACAAAUUGGAGAAAGUCCAAAGAAGAGCAACAAUAAUGAUUAAAGGUCUAGAAAACGUAACCUAUGAGGAAAGAUUGAAAAAAAUGCAUCUGUUUAGUGUGAAGAGAAGAGAAGAUUGAGGGUGGGGACAUAAUAGUCUUCAAGUAUGUCAAAGGUUGCUAUAAAGAUGAGAGUGAAAAAUUGUUCUCCUCAUCCACCUAGGACAGGACAAGAAGUAAUGGGCGUAAAUUGCAGCAAGGGAGAUUUACGUUAGACAUUAGGAAAAACUUCCUCACUGUAAGGGUGUUUAAGCACUGGAGCGAACUUCCUUAGGAGGCUGCGGAAUCUCCACCAUUGGAGGUUAGACAGAUACCUGUCAGGGAUGAUCUAGACAACAUUAAAUCCCGCCUCAGAACAGGGGACUGAACUAUAUGACCUAUCGAGGCUCCUUCCAGUCCUACAUUUCUAUGAUUCUAUGCCAUGGUUUUAUUCACUCAACUGGUAACAUAAUAAAAAUAUUUUUAUCUUCUGUUCCCAAAGUACUCAAAAUCUAGGGAAGUGUUAAGUU